UGGCUCNCCAAGGCGACGAUGCGUAGCCGACCUGAGAGGGUGAUCGGCCACAUUGGGACUGAGACACGGCCCAGACUCCUACGGGAGGCAGCAUG
rnacentral:rRNA from 1 species